CCUUUGUCUUCUGCCAUGACUGAAAGUUUCCUGUCUUUCAUCUGGACCACCAACAUGCCAUCCAGAUUGAGGAAGACCCGGAAACUUCGGGACCACGUGAGCCACGGCCACGGCUGCAUCGCUUUGUAUUUCUGCAGGCAAGCACUGGAAGCACCCUGGAGGCCAGGGUAAUGCUGGUGGUAUGCAUCACCACAGGAUCAACUUCAACAAAUAUCACUCAGGUUACUUUGGGAAAGUUGGUAUGAGGCAUUACCACUUAAAGAGGAACCAGAGCUUCUGCCCAACUAUCAACCUUGACAAAUUGUGGACUUUGGUCAGUGAGCAGACACGGGUGACUGCUGUUAAAAACAAGACUGGGGCUGCUCCCAUCAUUGAUGUGGUGUGAUCGGGCUACUAUAAAGUUCUGGGCAAGGGAAAGCUCCCAAAGCAGCCUGUCAUCGUCAAGGCCAAAUUCUUCAGCAGAAGAGCUGAGGAGAAGAUUAAGGGUGUCAGGGGGGCCUGUGUCCUGGUGGCUUGAAGCCACAUGGAGGGAGGUUCAUUAAAUGCUGAGUACUUGUUAAAAAAAAA